CGCAUGCCGGCGGCACGUUGCCCGGAGUGAUCGGCCGGCUCGACCACGGCACCAGGGUGCGGCCGGAGCUCGCGCACAUGAAGCAGCCGCCGAGCGCGUACCUGCGCCGCUUCACCUACGACACCAUCGGGCACGACGACCGCAUCAACCUCAAUCUGGUACGGCUGGUCGGCGCCGAUCGCGUCCUGCUGGGCAGCGACUACUGCUUCGACAUGGGGCUCGCCGAACCGGUGCAGACCGUGAACCGUCUGACCGACCUCGCGCAGGCGGAACGCGAUCAGAUCCUGGGCCGCAAUGCGGCCCGCCUACUGGGACUCGACUGACAUGAGAAAAAUCGACCGCCUCGCCGCCACGCUCGCGCUUGCCGCGUUCUGCGGGACUGCAGCCGCGCAGGGCACCUACCCGAACAAGCCGAUUCGCAUGCUCAUUCCCCUCGCCGCAGCGAGCGCGGUCGACAACGCGGCGCGCGUCCUCGGCGCGCGCAUGUCCGAGAACAUGGGCCAGCCGUUCGUGAUCGAGAACAUGGCCGGCGCGUCCGGGCUGAUCGGGGCGGAGCGCGUCGCGAAAGCGGCGCCGGACGGCUACACGAUCGGGGCGUUCAACGACAGCAUCCUAACGAUGCUGCCGAACCUGCACGCGAAGAUGCCGUUCGACGUGCUCAAGGACUUCGAACCGGUGUCCCUCGUCGGCACGAUCGAGUGGGGCUUGAUCGCGUCGAACGACGCGCCGUUUAAGAGCGCCGCCGACGUGAUCUCCGCCGCGACGGCGAACCCGGGCAAGAUCAACUACGCCUCGGGCGGCAACGGCAGCCCGCAGCACAUCGCGAUGGCGCUCUUCGCGUCUACCGCGAACAUCUCGCUCACCCACGUGCCAUACAAGGGCGCGACUCAAGCGGCGACCGAUAUCGCCGCGGGCCAGGUGCCGGUCGGCAUGCAGGGGCUCGGCACGGUCGCGUCGCUCGUGCGCGGCGGGAAGCUCCGCCUGAUCGGGGUCGGCACGCCGCAGCGCCAC
rnacentral:misc_RNA from 1 species